GAUGAACGCUAGCGGCAGGCCUAACACAUGCAAGUCGAGGGGUAGCAGGAUUAAGCUUGCUUAAUUGCUGACGACCGGCGCACGGGUGCGCAACGCGUAUGCAACCUACCUUAUACUGGGGUAUAGCCCGGAGAAAUUCGGAUUAAUCCCCCAUAGUACUAAUGAAUCGCAUGGUUUAUUAGUUAAAGCAUUGCGGUAUAAGAUGGGAAUGCGUCCUAUUAGCUAGGUGGUGAGGUAACGGCUCACCAUGGCUACGAUAGGUAGGGGGCCUGAGAGGAUGGUCGUCCACGCUGGUACUGAGACACGGACCAGACUCCUACGGGAGGCAGCGGUGAGGAAUAUUGGUCAAUGGGCGCAAGCCUGAACCAGCCAUGCCGCGUGCAGGAAGAAUGCCCUAUGGGUUGUAAACUGCUUUUAUUUGGGAAUAAACCUCUUUACGUGUAGAGAGCUGAAGGUACCAAAUGAAUAAGCACCGGCUAACUCCGUGCCAGCCGCCGCGGUAA
rnacentral:rRNA from 1 species